rnacentral:rRNA from 1 species
GACGAACGCUGGCGGCGUGCUUAACACAUGCAAGUCGAACGGAAAGGUCCUGCUUUUGUGGGGUGCUCGAGUGGCGAACGGGUGAGUCACACGUGAGUAUCCUGCCCUUUACUUUGGGAUAACUUCAGGAAACUUGGGCUAAUACCGGAUAAGAGCUCCUGCUGCCUGGUGGGGGUUGGAAUGUUUUGGCGGAUUGGGAUGGACUCGUGGCUUAUCAGCUUGUUGGUGGGGUAGUGGCUUACCAAGGCUGUGACGGGUAGCCGGCCUGAGAGGGUGACCGGCCACAGAGGAGAAUACUGAGGGACGAGACUGUGACGGGGGGCAGCAGUUGGUAGGAAUGCAGAAUGAGCGAUAGCGUGAGGAGGCAAAACGGCGUGCGGAAUGACGGCCUUCGGUUUAUAAGCAGCUUACGCCUGACACGUAGCGUGAGGAACGUAAAUGAGGAAAAAAGAACCGGCAAACUAGGG